rnacentral:snoRNA from 1 species
AAAAAAGCAGGAUGUUGUUCUCUACAUAAUCAGUAUCCUCGUAAACUUUAGGAAUAUCAUAGUCAUUGUUAUUGGGUGAACCGGUGGACAGUUUGAUGUUGAUUGGUUCAGUAAAUGGUGGCACAUUU